rnacentral:rRNA from 1 species
GACGAACGCUGGCGGCGUGCUUAACACAUGCAAGUCGAACGCAGUGGCGAACGGGUGAGUAACGCGUAAUCAACCUGCCCUUCAGAGGGGGCCAACAGUUGGAAACGACUGCUAAUACCGCAUACUGACGGUGGGGAUUGCGUCUGAUUAGCUAGUUGGAGGGGUAACGGCCCACCAAGGCGAUGAUCAGUAGCCGGACUUGGAGGAUGAAAGGCAACAUUGGGAAUGAGAAACGGCCCAGACUCCUACGGGAGGCAGCAGUGGGGAAUCUUCCGCAAUGGACGAAAGUCUGACGGAGCAACGCCGCGUGAGUGAUGACGGCCUUCGGGUUGUAAAGCUCUGUUAAGCGGGACGCGGUACCGGAAUAGAAAGCAACGGCUAACUACGUGCCAGCAGCCGCGGUAAUAC